GCCCCACCUGGCUCACUAGGAGAACAUCUACUUUCCAUGCAGAAUGCCCCAGGUUCAAUCCCUGGCAUCUCCA
rnacentral:tRNA from 1 species